rnacentral:rRNA from 1 species
GGACGAACGCUGGCGGCGUGCUUAACACAUGCAAGUCGAGCGGUAAGGCCCUUCGGGGUACACGAGCGGCGAACGGGUGAGUAACACGUGGGUGAUCUGCCUCGCACUCUGGGAUAAGCCUGGGAAACUGGGUCUAAUACCGGAUAUGAGCMYCSGSUGCAUGSKKGGUGUUGGAAAGGUUUACUGGUGCGAGAUGGGCCCGCGGCCUAUCAGCUUGUUGGUGGGGUAACGGCCUACCAAGGCGACGACGGGUAGCCGGCCUGAGAGGGCGACCGGCCACACUGGGACUGAGACACGGCCCAGACUCCUACGGGAGGCAGCAGUGGGGAAUAUUGCACAAUGGGCGAAAGCCUGAUGCAGCGACGCCGCGUGAGGGAUGACGGCCUUCGGGUUGUAAACCUCUUUCGACAGGGACGAAGCGCAAGUGACGGUACCUGUAGAAGAAGCACCGGCCAACUAC